UACGGGGGGGGCAAGCGUUGUUCGGAAUUACUGGGCAUAAAGCGCACGUAGGUGGUCCGCUAAGUCGCGUGUGAAAUCCCCCGGCUCAACCGGGGAAAUGCGCGUGAUACUGGCGGGCUUGAGAUCGGGAGGGGUGAAUGGAACUCCAGGUGGAGCGGUGAAAUGCGUAGAUAUCUGGAGGAACACCGGUGGCGAAAGCGGUUCACUGGCCCGACACUGACACUGAGGUGCGAAAGCUAGGGUAGCAAACGGG
rnacentral:rRNA from 1 species